rnacentral:rRNA from 1 species
GAUGAACGCUAGCGGCAGGCCUAACACAUGCAAGUCGAGGGAGAGGUUACCUUCGGGUCACCAAGACCGGCGCACGGGUGCGUAACGCGUAUACAAUCUGCCUUUCACAUAGGGAUAGCCCGAAGAAAUUUGGAUUAAUACCUAAUGGUAUAUAAGAGCGGCAUCGUUUUUAUAUUAAAGCUACGGUGGUGAAUGAUGAGUAUGCGUUCUAUUAGCUAGUUGGAGAGGUAACGGCUCCCCAAGGCGACGAUAGAUAGGGGUUCUGAGAGGGAUGUCCCCCACACUGGUACUGAGAUACGGACCAGACUCCUACGGGAGGCAGCAGUGAGGAAUAUUGGACAAUGGUCGGAAGAAUGAUCCAGCCAUGCCGCGUGCAGGAUGAAGGUCCUAUGGAUGGUAAACUGCUUUUAUAAGGGAAGAAUAAGGAGUACGUGUACUUUGAUGACGGUACCUUACGAAUAAGCAUCGGCUAACUCCGUG